rnacentral:misc_RNA from 1 species
CUUCUUCUCCUUCUUCAUCUUCUUCUUGUGAUUCUUUAACCAGAGUGGAGCUGCAGCCAAGAAAAUAUAGAACAAACAAAGAAUGAAUCACCAUGAUCGAUUUUUAAAUCUCCUGAUGCGAGAACGGUGGUUGUGAUGAUGAACAGAAUUAAUAUGUGUAUGAGAAUUGUGAAGCAAGAAAAGCUUCUUUAAGACUUUCAUGAACACUACCAAGCCUGCAGCUGUUGACGCUGCAGGAGGCUUCCCAGGUGAAACCAUGGCAGUAUUAGUAGUUUUGAUUGAUGAUCUCAGAGAUUGAAGCUGAUUAACACAUCCCAUUUUAACCAUAUGAUCAGAAUCAAAUCUUGAUGAACUUCGAAUUCUUUUCAUCGACAAUUCGUCAUUGAAAUCUUCCCAUAACAUGUCCAUCUUUUCCUCUUUAUCUCCAUCUUUACCAUCAUCAUCCAACUUUGCACCUCCACCUCGCUCUGCCCAUGAAAAGCUCUUUCUUUGGGUGGAGUCCUUGAUUGGUUUCUGU